CGUCCCUGCCCGCUGGCCCACCGCCCCCAGCCUCCCUCAGGCCAGCUUCGCCCUGCCUCCUGCUCCUCUGGGUGGUUAGCUGAGUUCAGGACACAUGUCAGCCGGCUUCUGGGUCCCACAGAAACCCACAUCCUCCCUGCGGCGCGAUCUGAGCUGGAAACCGUGACUAUCUGUUAACACAGAGCCAGCAGUUAAAACACCUGAAGGAAGCCCUUUUCUUGACAGUUGUUUCAGGAACCCCACCCUGUUCCAUGCCCUGCCCAGCUCCAGGAUUACGGCCCCGCCUGGGCGGCUCACCUUGGUUGAGUAAGAAGCGUAGCCAGAUGAUCAGCAAGAACAACAGCAAGGCCACGGGCAGACAGAGCCAGAACACCAGGAAAGAAAAUGUCAGCUCGUUCACCAGUGGCACCAGAGGGUACUUCAUGGGUAGGAAUAGAGACGAAGAUGUGAAGGCCAGACUUGUGGAUUCAGCGGGGGCAGUAGAGGGGAGUGAACUGAGAGAGUAGCACUGACAUGUAUACACUACCACGCGUAACAGAAAUGGUGAGUGGAAGCUGCUGUACAGCAGGGAGCUCAGCUCAGUGCUUUGUGAUGACUUAGAGGGUGCGCUGGCGGGAGGUAGGGAGCGAUGCUUGAGAGGGAGGGGAUAUAU